UGAAUCUAAAACUUAACUUAGAACAACUCUCAGCAACGGAUAUCUGGGCUCUUGCAACGAUGAAAAACGCAACGAAAUGCGAUACGUAGUGUGAAUUGCAGAAUUCCGCGAAUCAUCGAGUUUUUGAACGCAAGUUGCGCCCGAGGCUUGUCCGAGGG
rnacentral:rRNA from 1 species